CUCCGGUUGAUCCUGCCCGACCCGACUGCUAUCGGAUUGAGAUUUAGCCAUGCGAGUCGAACGUCCCCCUGUUGCGGGGGGCGUGGCGUACGGCUCAGUAACACGUAGUCAACCUGCCCUGGAGACAAGGACAACCCCGGGAAACUGGGAUUAAUCCUUGAUAGGUCAUCUCAUCUGGAAGGAGAGAUGGCUUAAAGGGGUACGCGGGCUUCUUCCGCGAAUUCGCUCCAGGAUGGGACUGCGUCCGAUCAGGCUGUUGGCGGGGUAAUGGCCCACCAAACCUGUAACCGGUACGGGCCUUGAGAGAGGUGGCCCGGAGAUGGACACUGAGAGAAGGGUCCAGGUCCUACGGGGCGCAGCAGGCGCGAAACCUUCGCAAUGCGCGAAAGCGUGACGAGGUUAAUCCGAGUGAUUUCCGCUGAGGAGAUCUUUUGUCAGCUGUAAAUAGGCAGGCGAAUAAGGGGAGGGCAAGCCUGGUGUCAGCCGCCGCGGUAAUACCAGCUCCUCGAGUGGUCGGGGCGAUUAUUGGGCCUAAAGCAUCCGUAGCCGGUUCCGUAGGUCCUCUGUUAAAUCCAACCGCUUAACGGUUGACCUGCAGAGGAUACCGCGGGACUAGGAGGCGGGAGAGGCGGACGGUAUUCCGCGUGUAGGGGUAAAAUCCUUUGAUCCGCGGAAGACCACCAGUGGCGAAGGCGGUCCGCCAGAACGCGCUCGACGGUGAGGGAUGAAAGCUGGGGGAGCGAACCGGAUUAGAUACCCGGGUAGUCCCAGCCGUAAACGAUGCUAGCUAGAUGAUUCAUUCGCAAGUCGCGAAUGAAGUGUCGCAGGGAAGCCGUUAAGCUAGCCGCCUGGGGAGUACGGUCGCAAGACUGAAACUUAAAGGAAUGGGCGGGGGAGCA
rnacentral:rRNA from 1 species